rnacentral:rRNA from 1 species
CAACAGGGAUUGCCCUAGUAACGGCGAGUAAAGCGGCAACAGCUCAAAUAAGAAAUCUGGCUUCGGCGGGAGUUGUAAUUUGCAGAGGAAGCUUUAGGCGCGGCACUUUCUGAGUCCCCUGGAACGGGGCGCCAUAGAGGGUGAGAGCCCCGUAUAGUUAGAUGCCUAGCCUGUGUAAAGCUCCUUCGACGAGUCGAGUAGUUUGGGAAUGCUGCUCAAAAUGGGAGGUAAAUUUCUUCUAAAGCUAAAUACCGGCCAGAGACCGAUAGCGCACAAGUAGAGUGAUCGAAAGAUGAAAAGCACUUUGAAAAGAGGGUUAAAUAGCACGUGAAAUUGUUGAAAGGGAAGCGCUUGUGACCAGACUUGCGCCGGGCAGAUCAUCCGGUGUUCUCACCGGUGCACUCUGCCCGGCUCAGGCCAGCAUCGGUUCUCGCGGGGGGAUAAAGGCCCUGGGAACGUAGCUCCUCCGGGAGUGUUAUAGCCCGGGGCGUAAUGCCCUCGCGGGGACCGAGGUUCGCGCAUCUGCAAGGAUG